rnacentral:rRNA from 1 species
UACGUAGGGUGCGAGCGUUAAUCGGAAUUACUGGGCGUAAAGCGUGCGCAGGCGUUUGUAAGACAGAUGUGAAAUCCCCGGGCUCAACCUGGGACUGCAUUCGAGACUGCAUUGCUAGAGUAUGGGAGAGGGAAGUGGAAUUUCCGGUGUAGCGGUGAAAUGCGUAGAUAUCGGAAGGAACAUCAGUGGCGAAAGCGACUCCUGGACCAAUACUGACGCUCAUGUGCGAAAGCGUGGGAGCAAA